AACGAACGCUGGCGGCAUGCCUAACACAUGCAAGUCGAACGAGACCUUCGGGUCUAGUGGCGCACGGGUGCGUAACGCGUGGGAAUCUACCCUCAGGUUCGGAAUAACUCAGAGAAAUUUGAGCUAAUACCGGAUGAUGACGUAAGUCCAAAGAUUUAUCGCCUGAGGAUGAGCCCGCUUAGGAUUAGGUAGUUGGUGAGGUAAAGGCUCACCAAGCCGACGAUCCUUAGCUGGUCUGAGAGGAUGAUCAGCCACACUGGGACUGAGACACGGCCCAGACUCCUACGGGAGGCAGCAGUGGGGAAUAUUGGACAAUGGGCGAAAGCAUGAUCCAGCAAUGCCGCGUGAGUGAUGAAGGCCUUAGGGUUGUAAAGCGCUUUUACCCGGGAUGAUAAUGACAGUACCGGGAGAAUAAGCUCCGGCUAACUCCGUG
rnacentral:rRNA from 1 species